UUGCCAGCUGACUUGCAUUCGUUCACAGAUACAUGUGUGUGAACAAACGGUAGUAAUUCACCCAUGUGUUUCAGGGUCGUGGUAUUCUCUCCAACAAGAUGGCCAGAACCAUUGCUUUCUUUUACACCAUCUUCCUGCAUUGCCUGGUCUUCCUGGUGCUGUACAAGACUGCCUGGAGUGAGAGCAUCGGUCAGACUGCUCUGCCUUCUGUGCUAAGAAGUACUCGGAUCACCUGCAUCGUUUCCAUGAGAACGGGGACAACCUGUGAUGUCAACCGGGAUGUCAACAAGUCGUGGCGAGACAAAGGGCAGACUGGAAUAGCAGCUUUAUUUUCUCCAGUAGAUGUUUUUACCCACUGGGGUGUGCUUUCUCUCUGCUUUGGGGGGGGGGGGACUAAAGGGAAGUGGCUGACAUGCAAACUCAUAUUUAAUUUUCCAAUUAGGUUAAGAGUUUGGUUAAGGUUAGGGUUAAUGUAAUGGUCAGUUAUAGAUGUUGGCCAGUCGGGCUGUCAGAAAAAUCCCCUUAGGCUUUCUCUCCCCAGCUCUCUCUCCCCAGCUCUC